AUUGAACGCUGGCGGCAUGCUUUACACAUGCAAGUCGAACGGUAACAGGCCGCAAGGUUCUGACGAGUGGCGAACGGGUGAGUAAUGCAUCGGAACGUGCCCAGUCGUGGGGGAUCACUACUCGAAAGGGUAGCUAAUACACCCUACGAUCUAUGGAUGAAAGCGGGGGACCGUAGGGCCUCGUGGGAUCGUAUCGGCCGAUGUCAGAUUAGGUAGUUGGUGGGGUAAAGGGUCACCAAGGCAACGAUAUGUAGCGGGUCUGAGAGGACGAGCAGCCACACUGGGACUGAGACACGGUCCAGACUCCUACGGGAGGCAGCAGUGGGGAAUGUUGGACAAUGGGCGCAAGCCUGAUCCAGCAAUGCCGCGUGCGGGAAGAAGGCCUUCGGGUUGUAAACUGCUUUUGUACGGAACGAAAAGGCUCUGGUUAAUACCCGGGGCUAAUGACGGUACCGGAAGAAUAAGCACCGGCUAACUACGUG
rnacentral:rRNA from 1 species